UUGGAGGGCAAGUCUGGUGCCAGCAGCCGCGGUAAUUCCAGCUCCAAUAGCGUAUAUUAAAGUUGUUGCAGUUAAAAAGCUCGUAGUUGAAUUUCGGGAUCAGAUUGUCGGUCGUGCCUCGGUACGCACUGGCAUUAUUGGUUCCUACCUUCUGAAGAACCGCGAUGUCAUUAAUUUGGUGUCGUGGGGAAUCAGGACUGUUACUUUGAAAAAAUUAGAGUGUUUAAAGCAGGCUUACGCUUGAAUACAUUAGCAUGGAAUAAUGAAAUAGGACGUUUGAUUCUAUUUUGUUGGUUUCUAGGAUUGACGUAAUGAUUAAUAGGGAUAGUUGGGGGCAUUAGUAUUCAAUUGUCAGAGGUGAAAUUCUUGGAUUUAUUGAAGACUAACUACUGCGAAAGCAUAUGCCAAGGAUGUUUUCAUUAAUCAAGAACGAAAGUUAGGGGAUCGAAGACGAUCAGAUACCGUCGUAGUCUUAACCAUAAACUAUGCCGACUAGGGAUCGGAUGAUGUUAAUUUUUUAAUGACUCAUUCGGCGCCUUACGGGAAACCAAAGUGUUUGGGUUC
rnacentral:rRNA from 1 species